CGAAGGAUCCAAGCGUUAUCCGGAUUCAUUGGGUUUAAAGGGUGCGUAGGCGGGUUUGUAAGUCAGUGGUGAAAGCCGGCAGCUCAACUGUCGAAUUGCCAUUGAUACUGCAGACCUAGAAUAUAGAUGAUGUUGGCGGAAUAUGACAUGUAGCGGUGAAAUGCAUAGAUAUGUCAUAGAACACCGAUUGCGAAGGCAGCUGACAAAACUAUAAUUGACGCUGAUGCACGAAAGUGCGGGGAUCAAACAGGAUUAGAUACCCUGGUAGUCCGCACAGUAAACGUUGAUAACUAGAUGUUUGCGAUAUACAGUAAGCGUCCAAGCGAAAGCGAUAAGUUAUCCACCUGGGGAGUACGCCGGCAACGGUG
rnacentral:rRNA from 1 species